GGGUUGUGAGGUUAAGCGACUAAGCGUACACGGUGGAUGCCCUGGCAGUCAGAGGCGAUGAAGGGCGUGCUAAUCUGCGAUAAGCGCCGGUAAGGUGAUAUGAACCGUUAUAACCGGCGAUACCCGAAUGGGGAAACCCAGUGUGACUCGUCACACUAUCAUUAACUGAAUCCAUAGGUUAAUGAGGCGAACCGGGGGAACUGAAACAUCUAAGUACCCCGAGGAAAAGAAAUCAACCGAGAUUCCCCCAGUAGCGGCGAGCGAACGGGGAGGAGCCCAGAGCCUGAAUCAGCAUAUGUGUUAGUGGAAGCGUCUGGAAAGGCGCGCGAUACAGGGUGACAGCCCCGUACACAAAAGCGCAUGUGCUGUGAGCUCGAUGAGUAGGGCGGGACACGUGGUAUCCUGUCUGAAUAUGGGGGGACCAUCCUCCAAGGCUAAAUACUCCUGACUGACCGAUAGUGAACCAGUACCGUGAGGGAAAGGCGAAAAGAACCCCGGCGAGGGGAGUGAAAAAGAACCUGAAACCGUGUACGUACAAGCAGUGGGAGCCCCACCACUAAGCCAGUGGUGAACUCCACAUACGCAUCCUUUGCUGAGGAUACGGUUAACGGAGCGAAAGCGACGUUCAACCUCAAAAGAAGCAGAGGGGGCUUAGUGGUGGGGUGACUGCGUACCUUUUGUAUAAUGGGUCAGCGACUUAUAUUCUGUAGCAAGGUUAACCGAAUAGGGGAGCCGGAGGGAAACCGAGUCUUAACCGGGCGUUAAGUUGCAGGGUAUAGACCCGAAACCCGGUGAUCUAGCCAUGGGCAGGUUGAAGGUUGGGUAACACUAACUGGAGGACCGAACCGACUAAUGUUGAAAAAUUAGCGGAUGACCUGUGGCUGGGGGUGAAAGGCCAAUCAAACCGGGAGAUAGCUGGUUCUCCCCGAAAGCUAUUUAGGUAGCGCCUCGUGAAUUCAUCUCCGGGGGUAGAGCACUGUUUCGGCUAGGGGGCCAUCCCGGCUUACCAACCCGAUGCAAACUGCGAAUACCGGAGAAUGUUAUCACGGGAGACACACGGCGGGUGCUAACGUCCGUCGUGAAGAGGGAAACAACCCAGACCGCCAGCUAAGGUCCCAAAGUCAUGGUUAAGUGGGAAACGAUGUGGGAAGGCCCAGACAGCCAGGAUGUUGGCUUAGAAGCAGCCAUCAUUUAAAGAAAGCGUAAUAGCUCACUGGUCGAGUCGGCCUGCGCGGAAGAUGUAACGGGGCUAAACCAUGCACCGAAGCUGCGGCAGCGACACUCAGGUGUUGUUGGGUAGGGGAGCGUUCUGUAAGCCUGUGAAGGUGGCCUGUGAGGGUUGCUGGAGGUAUCAGAAGUGCGAAUGCUGACAUAAGUAACGAUAAAGCGGGUGAAAAGCCCGCUCGCCGGAAGACCAAGGGUUCCUGUCCAACGUUAAUCGGGGCAGGGUGAGUCGACCCCUAAGGCGAGGCCGAAAGGCGUAGUCGAUGGGAAACGGGUUAAUAUUCCCGUACUUGGUGUUACUGCGAAGGGGGGACGGAGAAGGCUAUGUUGGCCGGGCGACGGUUGUCCCGGUUUAAGCGUGUAGGUGUGUGUUCCAGGUAAAUCCGGUUCACUUUAACACUGAGGCGUGAUGACGAGGCACUACGGUGCUGAAGCAACAAAUGCCCUGCUUCCAGGAAAAGCCUCUAAGCAUCAGGUAACAUCAAAUCGUACCCCAAACCGACACAGGUGGUCAGGUAGAGAAUACCAAGGCGCUUGAGAGAACUCGGGUGAAGGAACUAGGCAAAAUGGUGCCGUAACUUCGGGAGAAGGCACGCUGACACGUAGGUGAAGUGAUUUACUCAUGGAGCUGAAGUCAGUCGAAGAUACCAGCUGGCUGCAACUGUUUAUUAAAAACACAGCACUGUGCAAACACGAAAGUGGACGUAUACGGUGUGACGCCUGCCCGGUGCCGGAAGGUUAAUUGAUGGGGUCAGCGCAAGCGAAGCUCCUGAUCGAAGCCCCGGUAAACGGCGGCCGUAACUAUAACGGUCCUAAGGUAGCGAAAUUCCUUGUCGGGUAAGUUCCGACCUGCACGAAUGGCGUAAUGAUGGCGAGGCUGUCUCCACCCGAGACUCAGUGAAAUUGAACUCGCUGUGAAGAUGCAGUGUACCCGCGGCAAGACGGAAAGACCCCGUGAACCUUUACUAUAGCUUGACACUGAACAUUGAGCCUUGAUGUGUAGGAUAGGUGGGAGGCUUUGAAGUGUGGACGCCAGUCUGCAUGGAGCCGACCUUGAAAUACCACCCUUUAAUGUUUGAUGUUCUAACGUGGACCCGUGAUCCGGGUUGCGGACAGUGUCUGGUGGGUAGUUUGACUGGGGCGGUCUCCUCUAAAGAGUAACGGAGGAGCACGAAGGUUGGCUAAUCUGGUCGGACAUCAGGAGGUUAGUGCAAUGGCAUAAGCCAGCUUGACUGCGAGCGUGACGGCGCGAGCAGGUGCGAAGGUCAUAGUGAUCCGGUGGUUCUGAAUGGAAGGGCCAUCGCUCAACGGAUAAAAGGUACCCGGGGAUAACAGGCUGAUACCGCCCAAGAGUUCAUAUCGACGGCGGUGUUUGGCACCUCGAUGUCGGCUCAUCACAUCCUGGGGCUGAAGUAGGUCCCAAGGGUAUGGCUGUUCGCCAUUUAAAGUGGUACGCGAGCUGGGUUUAGAACGUCGUGAGACAGUUCGGUCCCUAUCUGCCGUGGGCGCUGGAGAACUGAGGGGGGCUGCUCCUAGUACGAGAGGACCGGAGUGGACGCAUCACUGGUGUUCGGGUUGUCAUGCCAAUGGCACUGCCCGGUAGCUAAAUGCGGAAGAGAUAAGUGCUGAAAGCAUCUAAGCACGAAACUUGCCCCGAGAUGAGUUCUCCCUGAGACUUUAGGUCUCCUGAAGGAACGUUGAAGACGACGACGUUGAUAGGCCGGGUGUGUAAGCGCAGCGAUGCGUUGAGCUAACCGGUACUAAUGAACCGUGAGGCUUAACCUUACAACGCCGAAG
rnacentral:rRNA from 1 species